AAUAUGUGGUAGGUGAGGCUACUACAGGGAUAUGGGUUGCUGCCGCAAAAUAGUGGAGACACUAUGCGUUGGUUAGCAGACUGCGUCGGUUCAAGGCGUAGUCUAAUGCAAUUUCAUGGUCAACAAACCACGCCCUGUAAAGCUAAAGCUUGGAUGACAG
rnacentral:sRNA from 2 species